CAAAAGCAUUAGGAGCAGAGGUUUCCCUUUUUCCAAUUAAGGACAUACAGGGAGAGUGGGUGUUUGAUGUGGAUGACAUCAAAAAACUCAUCAGGC
rnacentral:sRNA from 1 species